rnacentral:rRNA from 1 species
UACGUAGGGUGCGAGCGUUGUCCGGAAUUAUUGGGCGUAAAGGGCUCGUAGGCGGUUUGUCGCGUCGGGAGUGAAAACCUCGGGCUUAACUCGGGGCUUGCUUUCGAUACGGGCAGACUGGAGGUAUGCAGGGGAGAACGGAAUUCCUGGUGUAGCGGUGAAAUGCGUAGAUAUCGAGAGGAACACCUGCGGCGAAGGCGGGUUGCUGGGCUGACACUGACGCUGAUGCGCGAAAGCCAGGGGAGCGAACGGG